UUGAGGUGAAGCCUUAGCGGUUUGGAGUUGUCAGAGCAUAUUUUUUCCUUUAUUUUUUUAAUUUUCUUUUUUGUCUUUUUUUCACUUAAGAGGAAAGAAAAUGUUGGGGCUAGGAUUAGUCCUAUCAUUCUUGUGUUCGUCAGAUGUAGGAGGUGGUGCUGUUUUCCUACCUCGAAGCUCAUGAUGCAGUUCCAGAAAAUAUAGCAGUCUAUGGGAAACACAAGAGAGUUUUAU
rnacentral:lncRNA from 1 species